CCCUGACUUAUAGCUGGAUAGACAUUUCCCCUUAAUUCUAGAACUGCAACAGUUCCAGGCAUAUUUUUUUUUAUUAUAGCAGUUGCCAUUAGCCAACACCAUAAAAAAAUAAAAAAAAUAAAAAAAUAAAAAAAAAACCCACACACAAUUAUCCUGAUUAAAUAGGCUGGUAAUCAGAGCUGGAAAUGAUAAAUUAUCAACUAUUCAAUAGGUAAGGCGCUUAGAAUUCAAGAAAGCAUUACUAAGCCUUCAUUACUAAAGAGUUCCGAAAAAAAAAUAGAGGGCACGAUUUGGAUAAGAAAGUGGACAGUGGAUGGACAUGAACAUACACCACAGAAGUUCUCAACUCCAUGCUUCGAGAGCCACACAUAGACCUAUAUGUACUUUCUUAAAAACCACAGAUGAGUUCCAUUAAUGUAAAGUGGCUAACUUGCCUUAAUAUAGAGAUAUCAAAAAAAUCUAGGCCAGUGAGCUGCCAUCAAGGCUUGGAGUUGUAUACCACUAUAAUAGCAAACGGAAAGGGAUGCAAGACACUUUCCUAUUACCAGUGGUGAUUGAAACCCUACUUUUACCACGUCACAAAAUGUUGACUGAAACCCUAUCCUUAACCAUCACCAGCUGAAAACCAAAUAAAGUUUUUAAGUUGAAUAAAAAAAUAAAAAUAAAAGACAACCCAAAAAAAUUCUUGAUAGAACAAUAAAACAGUAACAAUGUUGUUAAUGAGCUGUGAACCUUCAGUUUAAAAACAAAGACACUGCUAUGUUCGGAAGAACGAGAGUUGGCACUCUUCCACGCUAAGUGAAGAAUAACAAAAACACGGCUGUCUCUUUAACCAAAUUGCUACCAGUGGUAGAUGUAGUUACAAUACCAAUGGUAGUGUCAGGAAAAUUCCUAUGGCUGUCUAGCGAGGUCUCUGUUCAUUUGUUAGCACGCACAUCUUUAACACAGGAUUUGAAGAUGGUUCACAGCAAUACUACACAAAUGCAUUUCCUGCUUUUCGUCUCUAGAAUAGUAAAAUGUUGCCAAAUACCCUCAGGAAAUCCUAGUUUAAAGCCUCAGGUGACAUCCUGCCUACUGUGAGGUUUUUUUUCUCUCCUUUCUCAUCAUGAG